CCAUGGUCCAGGAGGCUCAUAGCCCUGGAUAAGCAGAGCUGGUAAGACCUCUCCAGAAAAGGAGGAAAGGUGGGAUGAAGCCGACGCUGAAGAUGCUGAUACUUCUGUUGCUUCUGGGGCCCAGCUCUGGGCUUGGUGCUCUUGUCUCCCAACAUCCCAGCAGGGCCAUCUGUAAGAGUGGAAAAUCUGUGAAGAUUGAGUGUCGUUUCACGGACUUUCAGUCCUCGACUGUAUUUUGGUAUCGUCAGUUCCAGAAACAAAACUUCAUACUGAUCGCAACGUCUAAUAUGGGCUCCAGUGCCACAUACGAAGAAGGUUUUACCCCGACCAAGUUUCCCAUCAGUCAUCCAGACCUAACCCAUUCAACUCUGAUGGUGACAAGCGAGCAUCCUGAAGACAGUGGCUUCUACUUCUGUGGUGCUAGUGACACAGCGCUGGGUGGAGAUCAGAGAACUCAGCAAGAACCUCUGCUACAGCCUCCUCUCCCUGCCCCCUCGGGCUCAUGGAUACCUGUGGAAGGAGGAGUAGAGACCGGAAACCACAGAUUCUCUGACUGA